AUUGAACGCUGGCGGCAGGCUUAACACAUGCAAGUCGAGCGGGGUGAUGGUGCUUGCACUAUCACUUAGCGGCGGACGGGUGAGUAAUGCUUAGGAAUCUGCCUAUUAGUGGGGGACAACAUCUCGAAAGGGAUGCUAAUACCGCAUACGUCCUACGGGAGAAAGCAGGGGAUCACUUGUGACCUUGCGCUAAUAGAUGAGCCUAAGUCGGAUUAGCUAGUUGGUGGGGUAAAGGCCUACCAAGGCGACGAUCUGUAGCGGGUCUGAGAGGAUGAUCCGCCACACUGGGACUGAGACACGGCCCAGACUCCUACGGGAGGGAGCAGUGGGGAAUAUUGGACAAUGGGGGAACCCUGAUCCAGCCAUGCCGCGUGUGUGAAGAAGGCCUUAUGGUUGUAAAGCACUUUAAGCGAGGAGGAGGCUCUUUUGGUUAAUACCCAAGAUGAGUGGACGUUACUCGCAGAAUAAGCACCGGCUAACUCUGUGCCAGCCGCCGCAGUAA
rnacentral:rRNA from 1 species